UAAAAUCUCUAUUGAAACCUAGUGUAACUUCUGGUAAACUUGACAUACCACCACUCAUUUGAAGGAACAAAAUAAUAUGAAAAAUUUGUUUUAAGACUUAUUGUGUGAGAGGAGGUUUACUUGAAAAUGAAGUAAAUGUGACAUGGUUUAACUUCAGUCGUGUCCAGAUAAGUUAUACAUGCUGUUGUUUGGAGAAGAGUAAGUGGUAAUCAUGAAGAUUACAGUACCAUCCAAGGGAUGGAUAGGAUAAAGAUGACACAUAUUUAUGGUACAGGAAAAAGAUACAAUAUUUACCAGGACAGGAGAAAUUAAAAUGCCCAAAAUUGGAUCACAAUACAGUGUUUUACAUGGUUUGUGGUAUCGGGAGCUAAACCUAACAGGAUCCAAUUACAGGCUUAGCUUGAAACUUCUACAUAAAUUAAUCUGUGAUAAAAAAUCAAGCUUUCUGAAGAUAUGGGAAGCCCAUUCAAAACAACCAAUAACAUGUGAAGAUGGAAAGCUGUAUUUUGACAACUACCACACCUGUUUAACUCUAUGUGGAAGAAACAGCCUUCCCAGCACUCUAUAUAAACUAAAAUCAAGAUCAAAGGAAAAGAGAAUUGAAGAUUGCAUUGUAUAUUCUGGUCCACUGUUUAAGACAUUGACAGAGCCAAAACUACAGCAGGCUUUCUUUUUGGCACUUACUGGUGACAACUGGCUAGAAUGUUACAGCAACCAGACUGGAGAGCUGCUUCAACAGGUUUACUUGGGUCCAACUGCUAGAUACAAGUUUCGGCAUGUAGACUGGGAGACUCAUGGUGAACAGGUGGUAAUACAGUCUGUUCAGAACCAGUCUGUUACCCCUACAACUCAGCCAGGCAUAAGACCACGUGUAUUAGAAGCUAUAGCAAUGUUUUCUGUAUUUCCAAUGGAAUUUAAAGCUCUUGUGGAAAUUGACCGAGAGGUGUUUGGAAAAGACUGCAACCAUGUGAAUAUUUCUGAAGGUUUAUUAAUAAUUGGUGUUGGGAAUUCGGCUACUGGUAGGGUGAGACUAUACAAUUUUGUUCAGGUUGUUAAGGAGGGCUUAAUGUUUGAAGCUAAGCUGCAGCAACCUUGUGAAGCAUUAGAAAAGGCAUUGGUUGGAUCCUACCCAGCAGGUAUUCCUCUCAACUGUAAACUGAAAGCACCACCACAACUUCUCUUUGAGGUUAGUUGUGCUGAUUACACCAUUCAUGUUGGAGGACAUCCUUUCCAUUUCAUUACAACUCCUCCUCGUCAUGAUGGAGUGUUCCAGGUGUGUUCUCUUGCAUCUAGUGUUCUUGUUGAGAAUGGAUAUUUAAAUUUUCCAACCAAUAGCACAGAACCUGACUCUGUUACUUUCCACCCGGAUGAUUCUGGAAGAAUUGUGUACAAUUCAGCUCACAAUAUUAAGAUUUUUGAUUUAAAAGAAAAUGGCCAAGGAAUAACUUCAUUAAAUAAUAGUUUUGAACUCUCGAUGAACAAUGGGAAGAGAAGAAAACAAGGGUUAAAACUAGGUACAGCUAGACUGCGUGAGGCUAAGAAGACAUUCUCUUCAGACUUUGUAAUGUCUUGCGAGAAAAGCAUUUUGAGUGAUGACUAUGAGAAUGAAUUGGAUAUCUACUCAUUGUUAGGGUUUGAUCCAGAGGAUGAAAGCUGUCAUGGAAAAAUCAACAUUCAUGACAACGAAACAGGACAGUUAAUCAAAUCUGUGGAUCUUAAAAUGAAAAUGGAUGAGGAGAUUUAACUUAUUGCUUCCUGUUGCCUGCUUCGUGUGUUUUGUGGAGGAUGGAGAUUAGUUGGAGUGAGAAUAGUUGUGUUCGACAUACUUUUUGGCUGACCAUACAUUAACCAUGGACCUUGAGACCUUUGUCAUCAUCACCAGAAAUGAGUGUCGUAGAUUCAGUUGCUAUGUGUACAGACUGUUUCGACCUAAUGUAAUGAAAGAUCCACUGUUAGGUAGUAGAUC
rnacentral:misc_RNA from 1 species